rnacentral:misc_RNA from 2 species
UUAAAUGAUAGCCAGUUCUCUCUGUUUCGGCAGAGAUUGAGCAGGCAUUAACCCUUUGUGAACUGUAAUUGUACUUGGUAGGUUCAUUCUUACCCUCGAAGCUUCGGUGAAGAGAGUGAGAAAGUGCCUACCGCCUUUAUACCAACCCCUAUAUGAUUAUCUGAAAUUGAGUUAAUGAGAAA